AUGCUACUGGUAGUUUUGUCUCACAGCUGGAAUCUACAGUAAAGGUACAGCCUGGACUCUCCACCAGUCUCGACUGCCACGCUCAUCUAGAUGGAAGAAUUGUUUUAAUAUUCUGGCUCAAAAUUCCUCUUAACAAACCCCCAGUCUGUAUUGCUUCAACUCAGUCAUUGUCUGAUGAUGUAAAAAUGUGUAAACAAUUUAAAAAUCAAUCCCGAGUCGAAGCUACAUGGAACAAAAAGACCUUCAGUUUGUUGUUUUCAUCAGUGGAACAAACAGAUAUCGCAACUUACAUCUGUGGAGUGCAUAGUUACGGAUAUUUACUUUUUGGAAAUGGGACAAAAUUGAUUCUUGAUGAAGUUGCAGAUGUAACUACACCAAACACGCCAAUCGAAGACAACAAAGCGAAAUUUGGUCAGUAUCAUUUGAUCACUCUUCUAUUAAAAAAAUAAACAAUGGUUUAACCUCUAUGUAUUUGUGCAAAAAAAAAGUUUGUGAAAAAAAUUCACUUCGAAAUAAACACAUUUUCUUUAUUUUCUGAACUUCAAGGAUUUGAGUAUCUAGUGAUGUCAUUAGCAGCAACAAAUGUGGCAUCAAUUUUUCUCAUCCUUUUGCUGUGUUAUUGCUUAAAGAAAAAAAGAUCAGGUAGGAAUCAUUGUGUAAAAUGCAUUUUGUAAGGAACAUAAACAUAAAGUUUCAUGUUUACAUGCCACAUUUUCACAAAAACUAGUGGAAUUAUAUUUUUUUAUGUUCAUAUUUGUAUAUAUAUUACAUUGUAGUAUAAUUCAUAUUGCCAGAAUUUCCUCACGGUGUGAUAUAAAUUAUAAAUUGCAUGUCCAUGUAUUACAGGUCCAAUCGAUGAAGUCAACAGUGCAAAUGACAAAACGACAGAUGAAAUAAACUACGCUGCUCUCAAAUUUGGCAACAAACAGAGGAGAACGGUACAGAAAAGGCCUGAUGUAACCACAAAAGUCAUAUAUGGAACUGUGCGACACCAAGAGGAGUUAUAGCACCAUGCUGAAAUGAAUGCAUAUCUUCAAUAUAAAGCACAUGCUGUCUGUUCAUAAUGCUGUUUAAGCAGUUACUUAAACAGUUACUUAAGCAGUUAUUUUCUUAUAAAAACUUCUUUUGAAAAUUGGUUAUUCACUGUAAAACAAAAAUUUAAUGAUCGUGUCUUUCUACUUUCCUAAUACCCCUAAAACUACUAAUACUUUGAAUAUCCCACCAUCUAACAUAAAUAAAGUCAUCAAAAUAUUAAGUGAAUCUGGAGAAAUUGCUGUGCAUAAUUAACCAGGCUGGUCUUCAGUAUUGUGUGCUGGUGAUCUUCGGGCCCUUGGCCAGCUUAACGUUUAAAACAGGCAUGAUUCUGUACUGGAAAUCACUAAAUGACCUCAGGAACCCUUCCAGAAAUCACUCUCUGUUAAUUAUAUGCAAAUGCAAGCUGAAGCUGUAUUAUACAAAGAAGAAGCCAUAUGUCAACACGAUCGCCAAUGCCUUCUUUAGGCCAACGCUCAUUUAAAAUGGUAUGAGACAAAAUGGAAAACUGU